CACCGGGGGAGCGAGCGUUGCUUGUCAUUAUUGGGCGUAAAGGGUGAGUAGGCGGUCUCUUUAACAUUGGGUGAAAGUCUGGGGUACGAACACCACAGGAAGGGCUCAUUGAAUAUGGGAAAGACUAGAGUUAAGCAGAGGUUUUGGGGAAUAUCCGGUGUAGGGGUAAAAUCCAACUGAGAUCGGCUAGAACACCGAGGGCGAAGGCACCAAUCCAGGUUUAACUGACGCUGAGGCACGAAGGCAUGGGGAGCAAACAGG
rnacentral:misc_RNA from 1 species